rnacentral:lncRNA from 1 species
AAAUCUCCUCCCAUUUCUGAAGGAUAUUACCCUCAUAUCUUCUCAAUGCAUAUAACGUAUGCCUCUGCCUACAUUCCACCAAAAAAUAGGAAGAAUUUCUAUAUAAUCCUGAGAGAUUUCUAAGUGGUGACAACAAUGGUGAAAGGGUGUUUGAUAUAACAGGAAGUAGAGGGAUUAAGAUGAUGCCUUUCGGUGUUGGAAGGAGGAUUUGUCCUGGACUUGGUUUGGCUAUGCUUCAUUUGGAGUAUUUUAUAGCAAAUCUGAUUUGGUGUUUUGAGUGGAAGGCUGUGGAUGGAGGUGAGGUUGAUUUAUCAGAGAGGCAUGAGUUUACAGUUGUAAUGAAGAACCCAUUGAAGGCGCACGUAUGCCCCAGAGUAAGAUAAAGGCUUGACUAUUUGUCUACUUUCAAAAGCAUAUGUUAAAAGGUAUUUGCUGGUACCACAAAAUUCAAAAAGAUAAUAUAUCAAUGCCAUGUUUAAUGGUGGUAACACAGGAUGCCCUCAACGUAUGCCCUACAGAUGCACAUUAGUAUGAUCCUUAAAUAUAAAUUGAAAAGGCGUGAAUCUGGCUGUGACAGUAUAGCUGUACCAAUAACUGCUGCCUUUCUCAGUUUCAUAUGCCUAGUUGCUGGGAAGCAGGUCAGUUUCCUAUGAAUGCAUAUCUACGGUUAUUAGCAUUUUCUUUUUCUGUUUAAUCCAUAAGGUUAUGACAGCAUAUGCAACUUAAGUAUGCAGAUAAUAUUCUUCAAAAACUUUUGUAGCCCCAAAUCUGGGCACACCUUCCACAAAUGUUAUGUUCCUCAGCAUGAAAAGCCAGCGAAAAAAAAGAUGCAGCUUCCCAUAAUUAAGCAUAACGCCUCAAGAUGCCCUACUUUCAAAUUCAAAAUUCCCGUACUUUACAACGGAUAUGAACUAUCACACUUGUUUCUUAAAUUCAAAAUUCCUGUACUUUACAAUAGGUAUGAACUGUCAUAAUUUUUUCUUCGAUGCUCCAUAUACAACACCAUUAGGAGUUGAACAGUGAAGUCCAUCAGCUACUACCUGCUGCAACAGCAGUCAGAAGUUGGAUAUCCUUCAACUGGGAGUCAUCCUGAAAAUAUGCAAGCUACAAAUUAAAAUAUGACUUGUAUAACACUUCCAAAAAGACCUAAUUCCAGUAACAAAUGCCUAAAUAAAUUGGCAUCUCAUAGCAAGUUAAUCUAACUUGGAAGGUCCUAAAUACAAGUAUUUGAUUGUUAAUUGUACUUUUUUAUGCAAUCAUUCACUUUGAAAAUAAAGGAUUUCAAGAAAUUGAGUGGCUCCCAAACAACCAAAACUUCAUGAUUCAUGUUACAUAACAGUGCACAAGGCAUUUCCAAGAAAGAGAGAACUAUCCAACUUAAAUUAUGCAUUCAACAACAGAGACAUGAAUGCUGACCUCUAAUGUAAGUGGAUCUGCAAGCAAACAUUAGCUGAUCCUUCUAGAGUCAUGGCUUUAAAUUUGUUCUGGCGUUUAAAUCAAUCUAGAAACUUGAAAAUUUUCCAAAAUGACAAAAUGUUAAUUCAAACUGAAUAUGUUAGGACAUUGACUGAAAUCUUUCAAUUAUAAGAAGAGAUAAGCUCACCAACUGAUAGGAUGAUACAUUCUCUCCUUGCUAUGAGAAUACUGAAAGCACUCCUUAUGGAAACAUCAAACAUGACAAUAGCACUGCCAUGGAACAACUCUUUAGAUAUCUAACAAUAGUGGGAAUAAUAGCUGAAAACUUUGGUUGAAUUACUAGUACUGAAAUGAUAAUCGCUAAAGUUCAUGAGAUGAAAGAUUGAAACUUGAAUUUUC